rnacentral:ncRNA from 1 species
CAAAGGCUUGGUCCUGACUUUAUUGUCAGCUUCUGCUAUAUUUACACAUGCAAGUAUCCGCACCCCCGUGAGAAUGCCCACAAUUCCCUUCUGGGAAUAAGGAGCUGGUAUCAGGCACACCCCUGUAGCCCACGACACCUUGCUUAGCCACACCCCCAAGGGAAUUCAGCAGUGAUAAACAUUAAGCCAUAAGUGAAAACUUGACUUAAUUAAAGCUAAAUAGAGCCGGUCAAAACUCGUGCCAGCCACCGCGGUUAGACGAGAAGCUCAAGUUGACAGACAGCGGCACAAAGUGUGGUUAGGGAACUUUAACAUGACUAAAGUCAAACGCUUUCAAAGCAGUCAUACGCAUCUGAAAGUAUGAGGAUCAUUAACGAAAGUAACUUUACUCCACCUGAAUCCACGUAAGCUAAGACACAAACUGGGAUUAGAUACCCCACUAUGCUUAGCCCUAAACAUAAAUGCUAUAUUAAAAUAAAAUUCGCCAGGGAACUACAGACAUUAGUUUAAAACCCAAAGGACUUGGCGGUGCUUAACAUCCCCCUAGAGGAGCCUGUUCUAUAACCGAUACUCCCCGCUAAACCUCACCCCCCCUUGCCAAUUCCGCCUGUAUACCGCCGUCGCCAGCUUACCCUACAAAGGACCCAAAGUAAGCACAAUCGGUAAUACCUAAAACGUCAGGUCAAGGUGCAGCGUACGGGGGGGAAAGAAAUGGGCUACAUUUACUAGUUUGUAGUAAACACGAAUGAUAACCUGAAACAGUUGUCUGAAGGAGGAUUUAGAAGUAAGCCAGAAACAGAGUGUCUCGCUGAAACUUGGCCCUUAAGCGCGCACACACCGCCCGUCACCCUCUCCUAUAACUCCAACAAACCUAAUUAAUAAUAAAUCAACCGCGUAUAGAGGGGAGGAAAGUCGUAACAUGGUAAGUGUACUGGAAAGUGUACUUGGAUAAAA